rnacentral:rRNA from 1 species
UGAGGAACCUGCCCCGAAGACCGGGAUAACCCUCCGAAAGGAGAGCUAAUACCGGAUACCCCCACCGGACCGCAUGAUCUGGUGAGGAAAUGGAUUCCGCUUCGGGAGGGCCUCGCGGCCUAUCAGCUAGUUGGUGUGGGUAACGGCCCACCAAGGCGACGACGGGUAGCCGGCCUGAGAGGGUGUCCGGCCACACUGGGACUGAGACACGGCCCAGACUCCGUACGGGAGGCAG